GCGCCGAUAGUCCAGCCUGGUAAGACUCCUGUCUGCCACACAGGUGACCUGGGUUCAAAUCCCGGUCGGCGCA
rnacentral:tRNA from 2 species